GCCAAGAUACUCAAUCAGCCUAGUUGCCCAUUACUGGAAGAACAGAUAAAGAAAUGUGCAUAUACAGUGUGCUUUAGCCAUAAAUUUGAAUGAAAUCUUGUCCUUUGCAAGAACAUAGAUGGAAAAAGAAAGCGGAUGGAAUUGGAGGAUCUCAUCUGAAGCAGAAUACGUCAGACACAGAAAGACAGGCCUCACAUAUUUUCUCUUGUGAGUGGAAAUUGUUUAAAACCCUGGAAGUAGAAGACAGACUACUCUGGCUGCGAAGGGAACCACGAGGGAGGAGCGAGAAGAGGGGCGAGACAGGACAGAGGGAGGGCGGCUGUGACCAGCACACGGUACGUGCUUCCCGUGCGCAAGGCCCCGGGAGCUCAUCAGCUUGCGUAACCAUCACUUACAAUGAUAACCAAGGGGAGUGCUGAAGGCAGAAAAUCACUGAACUGGGGAGCCCAGAAAGCAGCAGCCGUAAAUACGAGAUGACCUUCCAAGAGCCGGAUGCCUGAAUUUACGACUUUGGAGACUACGAGACCAUGGGCCGCAGCAAGGGGAGCAUCGCGGCAGCAGGGGGCUGAGGAGGAAGGGAGAGCUCAUGGCCUUAAGUGAGGAGCGCAGCGGCCAGGCUGGACCUUCGCCGGCUCGCGGCAGGGCCUUCGCGGCGCCGCCCGCAGUAAGGCUCCGUGAGAAGAGCUGUGGACCAGGCCGGCGGCCCGAACGAUCCCGGGGCCUGAGGGCCGCUCCGGGACGCGCUCGAGGGCAAGGGGCGGGAGGCCAGGUCAAGGUCAGGCCCUGGGAAUAAGCCGGGGGAGGAGGAGCGACUCUGAAGGGGCGGGGCGACCGAUCGCGUCCCUGGGCAGGCACAGGGCACAGCACCGACUGCAAGCUAGGUUAAAGGCCACGUUUCGGGAUCCGGCAGGAAGCUCCUGUCCGUGGAGGGCCGCAGUCUAGCAUGUCCUGUCCUGUGUUCUUGACCACAAGGCCACCAUGCAGUGAGCAGCUGUCCUCCACCAGGCUCUUUUGCCUCAUGUUUCUGGAGUGGAGCAGCUGGCCAUGGACUGAACCCAGUGGAACUGUGAACCAAUGUACCGUGGUCUCCGCUUCCCUCCCCAUGAGAUCACAUUCUUUGGCCUCACACCUACUGCCACCACCACCACCAAGUCUUCCCUUGAAAAAUCUAAAUCGGAAAGAAAACAGCUGAGUGACACCAGAAAAUUAAAUACAUAAAACCAUGUAUCUUCCCUCUGGAGUCUACCCCAUGGCCAAUGCUGGUUUGCUUCGACUGCUCCUUUCCAGAACCAAACCUAAGUCCGCGCUGGAGCCCUGCUAUGUGUCCCUCCCGUCCGGCCUCUGCCUUAGAUGUAGCUUCAUGGCCUUUCUGAAUGAGCUGUCACCUUCUUUUUUCCUGUAAGUUUCAACCACCCAGUUCCACUAACUACAGCUCUGAAGACUGGGAAACUCCACAGCCAAGCUAAAUCAACCCAGAAGAGUAGAUCCUUCACGGAGAAAAAAGAUUGUCUGCAGCCGAAGAGAGGUAAAAGAGGGGAGGACUAUCACACAGGACAGAAGACUGUCCCUGUGCUUCCCUACCUUUCAGCACUGAGCUUCCACACCCUCAAGUCAUUACUUCUGGUUCAAGAUGGUGUGACUCACAUCAAAUGAAACAGGG
ensembl:lncRNA